CCAGUAGAUUUUUUUUUUCCCCAAUAGAUCUUAAGACUCGAGAAUAAUCAUCUUUGGUUCAGUUGUUUGACUUCCAGGCCCACUGGGGCGGCAGUCUCACCAGCAUGGCUUUGAGACAGUGGCCCCACCUCACCUCAUCUCUGCAGCAUAGCCUGGCUACUGACACCAAGGAAGUGGGCCCACCCUAUGAAAUUAAGAAGAAAGAAGCCUUUUGUACACAUGGACUUGUGGAUGCUGCAGUCUGAAAAGAGUAGAAAAGAAUAACUUUACAUUGGAGAAGCCUAACAAGCACUACUUCAGCCAGGUGAUCAAAGUUGACAUCAAUCGUGAUAAGUCAUACUUUGAAAAUAGCAGCUUCUGAAAACAGAGGAACAGUACUCUGACCUAUUUAUUGAAUGACAAAGAAGUCUAGCUUCGACUGGAGCCCAGAAGAGGAAUUGUUGUCAGAUACCACCCUAAAAGCUUUGUGAUGGACUGAACUUGAGUGUAACCUAGUGGUGCUAACUAUGAACAGAAUCAAGAGACUCUUAUACCUUCCCUCACAUCUUCCUGGCUGCCCUGCUUUCAUUCCAGCCAUUCUGGGGCAACCAGCACAGAGCAGAUACAACCUGACAGCGCCUUGACCCAGCUACACCUCCUGCCUCUUGCUUUCUCACUCAGACCUCUCUAACUAAACCUUGAAGGACUCCAUGCAGUAGUGGUCUGAGACUUCAGAUGAUCAGAUCUGCCAGAUUCUGUGUAAAAUAGAAUCAGGAAGAGCUAAAUGGUGUCCUGAGGCUCCUUCCUGGUUAAUUGAGUAAUUGAUUUUGAAAUGCAAUUUGAUGUUGAUACACAAUAAUUUCAGCACCCAGGUGCUUUUUCAGCAACAACUUCAGCUAAUCAGAAACUAUUUUAGUUAAAACUAAUGUUUUCCAUAUUUUGAGCCAAUGAUGGAGUGGGAAGUGUUAAAGGAAUAUAGCUUAACUAAAGACCAUUAUGCUUUGCAUAUAUAGAUACUACAAGUUUUAAAAAAAUUUUUAAUGUUUAUUUAUUU